rnacentral:rRNA from 1 species
UAUUAGAGUUUGAUCAUGGCUCAGAUUGAACGCUGGCGGCAUGCCUUACACAUGCAAGUCGAACGGCAGCACGGGAGCAAUCCUGGUGGCGAGUGGCGAACGGGUGAGUAAUACAUCGGAACGUGUCCUGUAGUGGGGGAUAGCCCGGCGAAAGCCGGAUUAAUACCGCAUACGAUCUGCGGAUGAAAGCGGGGGAUCUUCGGACCUCGCGCUGCAGGGGCGGCCGAUGGCAGAUUAGCUAGUUGGUGGGGUAAAGGCCUACCAAGGCGACGAUCUGUAGCUGGUCUGAGAGGACGACCAGCCACACUGGGACUGAGACACGGCCCAGACUCCUACGGGAGGCAGCAGUGGGGAAUUUUGGACAAUGGGCGCAAGCCUGAUCCAGCAAUGCCGCGUGUGUGAAGAAGGCCUUCGGGUUGUAAAGCACUUUUGUCCGGAAAGAAAACGCCCGGGUUAAUACCCUGGGCGGAUGACGGUACCGGAAGAAUAAGCACCGGCUAACUACGUGCCAGCAGCCGCGGUAAUACGUAGGGUGCAAGCGUUAAUCGGAAUUACUGGGCGUAAAGCGUGCGCAGGCGGUCCGCUAAGACAGAUGUGAAAUCCCCGGGCUUAACCUGGGAACUGCAUUUGUGACUGGCGGGCUAGAGUAUGGCAGAGGGGGGUAGAAUUCCACGUGUAGCAGUGAAAUGCGUAGAGAUGUGGAGGAAUACCGAUGGCGAAGGCAGCCCCCUGGGCCAAUACUGACGCUCAUGCACGAAAGCGUGGGGAGCAAACAGGAUUAGAUACCCUGGUAGUCCACGCCCUAAACGAUGUCAACUAGUUGUUGGGGAUUCAUUUCCUUAGUAACGUAGCUAACGCGUGAAGUUGACCAAUCACUA